rnacentral:snRNA from 1 species
GGAUGUGAGGGCGAUCUGGCUGUGACAUCUGUCACCCCAUUGAUCACCAGGGUUGAUUCAGCUGAUCUGGCUGGCUAGGCAGGUGUCCCCUUCCUCCCUCACAGCUCCAUGUGUGUCCCUCCUGAAGCUGCGCGCUAGGUCGAAGAGGACGGCCUUCCCUGAAUAGAGACUGACUGGUCUUAGGUUGAGGGUAUAUGAGUAGCUGCGCUCCCCUGCUAGAAGCUCCAAGAAAUGUGUUUGAAGUUCCAUUUCUUAAAUGGUUCCUUUUCAUUCCUUGAAUGGUUCCAUG